AGGGGGCUAGCGUUGCUCGGAAUCACUGGGCGUAAAGCGCACGUAGGCGGAUUGCUAAGUCAGGGGUGAAAUCCUGGAGCUCAACUCCAGAACUGCCUUUGAUACUGGCGAUCUCGAGUCCGGGAGAGGUGAGUGGAACUGCGAGUGUAGAGGUGAAAUUCGUAGAUAUUCGCAAGAACACCAGUGGCGAAGGCGGCUCACUGGCCCGGUACUGACGCUGAGGCACGAAAGCGUGGGGAGCAAACAGG
rnacentral:rRNA from 1 species